rnacentral:rRNA from 1 species
GACGAACGCUGGCGGCGUGCUUAACACAUGCAAGUCGAACGGUGAAGCCUUCGGGUGGAUCAGUGGCGAACGGGUGAGUAACACGUGAGCAAUCUGCCCUUGACUCUGGGAUAACUUCGGGAAACCGGAGCUAAUACCGGAUAUGACAUCUGGCCGCAUGGUCUGGGUGUGGAAAGAUUUAUCGGUCAAGGAUGAGCUCGCGGCCUAUCAGCUUGUUGGGGGGUAAUGGCCCACCAAGGCGACGACGGGUAGCCGGCCUGAGAGGGCGACCGGCCACACUGGGACUGAGACACGGCCCAGACUCCUACGGGAGGCAGCAGUGGGGAAUAUUGCGCAAUGGGCGGAAGCCUGACGCAGCGACGCCGCGUGA